UGGGGAAUAUUGCACAAUGGGCGAAAGCCUGAUGCAGCGACGCCGCGUGAGGGAUGACGGCCUUCGGGUUGUAAACCUCUUUCAGUAGGGACGAAGCGCAAGUGACGGUACCUGAAGAAGAAGCACCGGCUAACUACGUGCCAGCAGCCGCGGUAAUACGUAGGGUGCGAGCGUUGUCCGGAAUUACUGGGCGUAAAGAGCUCGUAGGCGGUUUGUCACGUCGUCUGUGAAAUCCUAGGGCUUAACCCUGGACGUGCAGGCGAUACGGGCUGACUUGAGUACUACAGGGGAGACUGGAAUUUCUGGUGUAGCGGUGGAAUGCACAGAUAUCAGGAAGAACACCGAUGGCGAAGGCAGGUCUCUGGGUAGUAACUGACGCUGAGGAGCGAAAGCAUGGGUAGCGAACAGG
rnacentral:rRNA from 1 species